CAAGAACAUGCAAACACAACUUAUGCAAUACGAUUCAUACAUCAAUUUAGCUUCAUUUAGUUCAUCUCAAUUGGAAACUUCACAUAAUAAAAGCGAUCAAGUCUGGAGUACAAUCUUUCAAUUCCCUAAAUAAAUACUGAAACAAAGAAAUUCACCAACAUUUACCCAGUACUUGAAGGACACACUCUGUGAACUAAGCAAGCACGAACGAAGCAAAGAGCAUGAGUAAGCUUGACAUUCCAGUCCAUGCAACCGUGCUCACUCCGUUUUUAUCUUUUGAAGCUGGGGUGGUGACUGGUGGCGUUUUCCCAGAAGGAGAACUUGAACUAGGAGCAGCCGCUUUACAAGCGGAAACAUCGCCAGGGAUGUUACAGUACUUAGGAAGUUCAAUAGCUUGAGUAACGUUAAUACCGAGAGAAAUCAACAAAGCGGGAUUUUCGUAAAGUUUGCAGAGACAUUGAAGAUCUUUGGUCACGGCUUCUCUUAGUGGGUCACAGCAAGAAGCCGGUGGUUUGGUUGAGUUGAGGAAAGCUGCACAGGGGACAAGUUGAGAAGCACACGACGGCGUUUGUGCCUCUAUGGUGGUUGGCGACAGUAGCGCCGCCGUGAUCGCGGCCGUGAUCAACCAGGAGAGCUUGGAGGAGAGCAUUUUUCUCUGUAUAAUUUUUAACUAUGCACGGAAAAAGUGUUCACUACUUUUUUUCCUUUAAUUAGUGAGGAGUUUUCUUGUGUG
rnacentral:misc_RNA from 1 species